UACGUAGGUGUCAAGCGUUGUCCGGAUUUAUUGGGCGUAAAGCGCCCGCAGGCGGCUUGCCAAGUUCGAUGUGAAAUCUCCCGGCUCAACUGGAAGGGUGCAUCGAAAACUGGCAGGCUUGAGGCAGGGAGAGGGAUGUGGAAUUCCAGGUGUAGUGGUGAAAUGCGUAGAUAUCAGGAGGAACACCGAUGGCGAAGGCAGCUGCCUGGCCUGACACUGACGCUGAGGUGCGAAAGCGUGGGGAGCGAACGGG
rnacentral:rRNA from 1 species